AACGAACGCUGGCGGCAUGCCUAACACAUGCAAGUCGAACGAGACCUUCGGGUCUAGUGGCGCACGGGUGCGUAACACGUGGGAAUCUGCCCUUUGCUUCGGAAUAACAGUUAGAAAUGACUGCUAAUACCGGAUGAUGUCGAAAGACCAAAGAUUUAUCGGCAAAGGAUGAGCCCGCGUAGGAUUAGGUAGUUGGUGGGGUAAAGGCCUACCAGGCCGACGAUCCUUAGCUGGUCUGAGAGGAUGAUCAGCCACACUGGGACUGAGACACGGCCCAGACUCCUACGGGAGGCAGCAGUGGGGAAUAUUGGACAAUGGGCGAAAGCCUGAUCCAGCAAUGCCGCGUGAGUGAUGAAGGCCUUAGGGUUGUAAAGCUCUUUUACCAGGGAUGAUAAUGACAGUACCUGGAGAAUAAGCUCCGGCUAACUCCGUG
rnacentral:rRNA from 1 species